ACCAGACUUGCCCUCCAAUUGAUACUCGUUAAGGGAUUUAAAUUUUUCUCAUUUGAAUUAUCCGACGAAAAUUCGCCAGAUAUUCAUAUUUUUUGUCACUACCUCCCUGUGUUAGGAUUGGGUAAUUUGCGCGCCUGCUGCCUUCCUUGGAUGUGGUAGCCAUUUCUCAGGCUCCCUCUCCGGAAUCGAACCCUAAUUCUCCGUUACCCGUCAUCACCACUGUAGUCCACUACACUACAGUCGAAAGUUGAUAGGGCAGAAAUUUAAAUGAAAUGUCGCCGACAUGAAGCCGUGCGAUCCGUAAAAGUUACUAUGAAUCACCAAAAUAUAAAGCAGUUGCCUGCCUAUUGGUUUUUUAUCUAAUAAAUACAUCCCUUCCAAUAAGAAUAUAGUCGGGAUUUGACGCAUGUAUUAGCUCUAGAAUUACUACGGGUAUCCAUGUAGUAAAAAUAAAAUCAAAUAAAUAAUAACUGAUAUAAUGAGCUGUACGCAGUUUCACUGUAUAAAGAUGUUUAUACUUAGACAUGCAUGGCUUAAUCUUUGAGACAAGCAUAUGACUACUGGCAGGAUCAACCAG
rnacentral:rRNA from 1 species